AGACCCGUAUUUUAUUUCCAUAAUUCUUUAUGUUUUAUGAAGGCAUGAGUUGUGAUAUAAAAUGGAGAAUGAGUUUGGAUGUCGAAUGUGCUAGAAUUUAGAAGUUCGGGGUGCAAGUGUAAUAUGCAUGGGUGUAUAAGUGAAGGUGUGUGUAGGGGAUAAUUUUCCCCCACCUAUAUUUCUUUUCUUUUCCGGGCCAGGCACACACGUUUCUCUCUCUCUAUUCUCUCGGCCGACUCUCUCUCUUUCUCACCUCUCCUCCAAACUUCUCUCUUCGAUUUCAUCUCCUUAGAAUGAGAUUUCGGAAAAAUCCCAAGUACUAAAGUUGUUCUACGCGACGAGAUCUUCCUAUCGAUCGAAGAAGAAUCAUGAUCGGAGCACUUUGAGGUUUCCUCCAUGUUCGGGCUUGCUUCUAACCCUCGAGGUAUGGAUAUCUCUACGAGCUAGUGUAGCUCACCCUAUCCUUUCAGGUACUCGCCAUUCGCCAUGAAACUUAGCUUGGAUUGCAUGGAGUGCACAUUGAGACGUCCCUUGAGAGCUUCAUUGGAAUCAUGAAGGAGGUGUUUUAUUAUCUAGUCUAAUUCAUGUUGUGUACUUUACUCACAAUUGAAAGUUGUAUCUUUUGGUUAGAACAUAUGUAAAGCUAGGUAUAAACUCCUCUCUUUGAUUAUUGUGAAGACCUUUUAAUGGAAUACGUUUGGGAGACUUUAUGUAAAAAAAAAAAAAAAAAAAAUUUAGAGAGAAGAAGAAGAGACUUUGAUUCUUUGUUUGGAUUGGCUUGACAUUUAAUGGUAAAUAUAAUUGAGAAAAA